rnacentral:rRNA from 1 species
GACGUAGGGUGCGAGCGUUGUCCGGAUUUAUUGGGCGUAAAGAGCUCGUAGGCGGCUCGUCGCGUCGACCGUGAAAACCCGCAGCUUAACUGCGGGCUUGCGGUUGAUACGGGCGGGCUAGAGUUCGGUAGGGGAGGACGUGGAAUUCCUGGUGUAGCGGUGGAAAUGCGCAGAUAUCAGGAGGAACACCGGUGGCGAAGGCGGGUCUCUGGGCCGAUACUGACGCUGAGGUCCGAAAGCGUGGGGAGCAAACAGG